UACGAAGGGGGCUAGCGUUGCUCGGAAUCACUGGGCGUAAAGCGCACGUAGGCGGGUCGUUAAGUCAGGGGUGAAAUCCUGGAGCUCAACUCCAGAACUGCCCUUGAUACUGGCGAUCUCGAGUUCGGGAGAGGUGAGUGGAACUGCGAGUGUAGAGGUGAGAUUCGUAGAUAUUCGCAAGAACACCAGUGGCGAAGGCGGCUCACUGGCCCGAUACUGACGCUGAGGUGCGAAAGCGUGGGGAGCAAACGGG
rnacentral:rRNA from 1 species